UUUCCGUAGGUGAACCUGCGGAAGGAUCAUUAUUGAAACUUGAAUCGUAGCAUUGAGAACUGUUGCUGACCUGUUAAAGGGUAUGUGCACGUUCGACGUGUUGCGUUCUAUUCAUCCACCUGUGCACCUUUGUAGACUUGAUUAACUUUCGCUUCCGAGCGGUUAGAAGGGCUGCUUUCGAGCUCCCUUUGUCUAUCAAGUCUAUGUCUAUAUAAUCUCUUGUAUGUCUAGAAUGUCUUGUUUAUGGGACGCAAGUCCUUUAAAUCUUAUACAACUCUCAACAACGGAUCUCUUGGCUCUC
rnacentral:misc_RNA from 1 species